GCUAUUUCGGCCCUUUAAGGCAACCACAAGGCUGAUGUGGCCCCCGGUGAAAAGGAGUCUGACACCCCUGCUCUAAGGGGCUUUUCUCUGAGGAAAGAAUGAAACAGCCUGACAGGUGAAGUCAUUUCUUUUGAUUCCUCAGAAGUCUUGGAGGAUGCUCUCCGUGAUUUUCACACCAAGGGACGUGUUGGCCCCACCUUACAGGCCGACUCCUUCCCAGAAGGCCGUGAGCCGAGCCAAGGCAAGCUGGCAGGUCAGCAAAGGUUCCCAGGCACUCUGUUGAGCCAGGACCAUCUCCCUGAGCUGGAGACCUGCCUCCUGCCCCACGUGCCUCAUUCUCAUGACUUCAUGCAGGGAGAUGGCUGGACGAGGACAUGUAGGAGAGAGAUGGGACCUACAGUCCAGUGGGGAGCCAAGAGGAACACAAAGAGCUGAGCCCGAAGACCAGCAGGAGACCAGAUGGGCAUAUCAGACUCUGCCCUGGAUCAGGAAAACCUUCCCAUGGGAGGUGUUGUUUUAUCCAAACCCGAAGGGCCAUAGAAUUUAAUAAAGAAACAUAACAUCAAUAGCAA